UACGGAGGGAGCUAGCGUUGUUCGGAAUUACUGGGCGUAAAGCGCACGUAGGCGGCUAUUCAAGUCAGAGGUGAAAGCCCGGGGCUCAACCCCGGAACUGCCUUUGAAACUAGGUAGCUAGAAUCUUGGAGAGGUCAGUGGAAUUCCGGGUGUAGAGGUGAAAUUCGUAGAUAUUCGGAAGAACACCAGUGGCGAAGGCGACUGACUGGACAAGUAUUGACGCUGAGGUGCGAAAGCGUGGGGAGCAAACAGG
rnacentral:rRNA from 1 species